rnacentral:lncRNA from 1 species
AUGCGCUCUCCUCGGGGAGACUCGGGAUGCGAUGGGGAAAGUCAAAUGAAGUCGGGAGCCCUCCUGAGCCCAAACCAGCGCCUGAGAUGUCAUUUUUUUUGGUGUGUGCUCCUAACACACGGAGGCACAGGAGCCUUGAGCACGGCAGGAGGAGACCCAGACCCCAAGCCCAGCUCUCGAACCCCAAUGACCUCGGCUGCCCUUCCAGCCGGCCGGCAGCAUCCCUCGCCGACCUCCCUCGCCCCUCAGCUGCCCGAGGAGCCCCUCGCCUCCAUCUCCUCCCCACCACAAGCCCCAAGGGACGGAGGAAGGGGCCGGGGGGGGGGUCUCCUGCUGCCCCCCGCCGAGCCCCCCCCCGGGCCGGCGCCGCUGCCCGCACUCACCCGAGGUGAGCUGCAUCCAGGCGCAGAUCUUGUAGACGGUGGCCGUGUUGCAGAAGAAGAAGAGGAUGAAGCAGACGAUGCAGGCGAUGAUGAGCAUCAUCGAGAGCCCGAUGAAGAAGGAGGCAGCUUUGAAGGCUCCCGAGGGCAGGCUGGAGAAGUCCGUGAAGCUGCCCCGGCAGGUGAGUUCCCGGCUGAAGCCGUUGCCGAUGCAGUAGUGGAAGAGCCCGAAGUAGCCCGCCUGCGGGGUGUCCACGCCGUCCCCGAUCCAGUAGGGCUGGAUGAAGCACACCACGUUGACGAUGGCAAAGCAGAUGGUGAAGAUGGCCCAGAGCACGCCGAUGGCCCGCGAGUUCCGCACGUAGUUGGUGUGGUAGAUCUUGGCCGCCUCCUGAGCCGGGAGCAUCCCCGCUGCUGCCGCUCCUGCCGAGCCCGCUCCCGUCGCCGCCGUCCCUGCAGCCGCUCCGGGCAUCCUCGCCGAGAAGAUCCCCCCUCCCCUUCCUCCUCCUCCUCCUCCUCCUCCUCCUCCUCCUUCUCCUCCUUCUCCUUUCUCCUCCUCCUCCUCCUCCUCCUCCUCCUCCCCGCUCACUCCCCUCGACGCGACGCGCCCCUCCGCCGGGCUUCAGGCCAGCAGCAGCGCCAACAUGGCCCGCCGCCGCCUGCCGGGGCUCCGCGCUGCCGCCCUGCCCGCCAAGGGGCCGCCGGCGCCCCGCCGCCCUGCGCAACCGCGGCCCGCGGCGGAGGGGAGGGUGUGGGGGAGGCGGAGCGGGACACGCCUGAGGCGGCGGAGGGGCCCUCGGAGCCCUCCCGCCCCGGGGAAGGGGGCGCCCGGGGUGGGAGAGCCCCGAGGAGGCGCUGA